rnacentral:rRNA from 1 species
AGAGUUUGAUCAUGGCUCAGAACGAACGCUGGCGGCAGGCUUAACACAUGCAAGUCGAACGGGCGUGAGCGAUCACGUCAGUGGCGGACGGGUGAGUAACGCGUGGGAACAUACCCUUUGGUUCGGAAUAACUCAGGGAAACUUGAGCUAAUACCGGAUACGCCCUUGGACGGAAGUCCUGGGGGAAAGAUUGAUUGCCGGAGGAUUGGCCCGCGUCCGAUUAGCUAGUUGGUGGGGUAACGGCCCACCAAGGCGACGAUCGGUAGCUGGUCUGAGAGGAUGAUCAGCCACAUUGGGACUGAGACACGGCCCAAACUCCUACGGGAGGCAGCAGUGGGGAAUAUUGGACAAUGGGCGCAAGCCUGAUCCAGCCAUGCCGCGUGAGUGAUGACGGCCUUAGGGUUGUAAAGCUCUUUCGCCAGGGACGAUAAUGACGGUACCUGGAUAAGAAGCCCCGGCUAACUUCGUGCCAGCAGCCGCGGUAAUACGAAGGGGGCUAGCGUUGUUCGGAAUUACUGGGCGUAAAGCGCGUGUAGGCGGGUCUUUAAGUCAGGGGUGAAAUGCCAAGGCUCAACCUUGGAACUGCCUUUGAUACUGGAGAUCUUGAGUCCGGGAGAGGUGAGUGGAACUGCGAGUGUAGAGGUGAAAUUCGUAGAUAUUCGCAAGAACACCAGUGGCGAAGGCGGCUCACUGGCCCGGAACUGACGCUGAGACGCGAAAGCGUGGGGAGCAAACAGGAUUAGAUACCCUAGUAGUCC